UACGUAGGGGGCAAGCGUUGUCCGGAAUCAUUGGGCGUAAAGAGCGUGUAGGCGGCUUGGUAAGUCCGCUCUGAAAGCCCGGGGCUCAACCCCGGGAGGCGGGCGGAUACUGUCGAGCUAGAGUCCGGAAGAGGCGAGUGGAAUUCCUGGUGUAGCGGUGAAAUGCGCAGAUAUCAGGAGGAACACCAAUGGCGAAGGCAGCUCGCUGGGACGGUACUGACGCUGAGACGCGAAAGCGUGGGGAGCAAACAGG
rnacentral:rRNA from 1 species